CAGUAAAUAGUUUAUUAAAAAUAUUAAUUUUGGAGAUUAAUGAAGAAUUACUAUUCUUUACUGA
rnacentral:tRNA from 2 species